rnacentral:lncRNA from 1 species
UAUAAUUCGAUACUUGUCCAAAUUAAAUUAAUUAGUAGAGUUACAUUGUUGCAUGUAAUUUCUAACAAAAGAUAAACGUGGUAGGAAAAUCUGGACGACAAAAACAAAUUAACUGCUAUAUAUAGAGAGUAAAAAUAUUCAAACACAAACAUAUUUUAUUACUCCAUAUGACAUAUGAACAUAUAUAUGCAUAUAGAUAUAAGAAAUUACAGAAAAUGACAUCAAUCUAACCAGAGCUUAUUCAUUAUUAUUGAUAUAUAUAUUAUUCCACGAUAUGAUAUAAGUAUAUUUUAAGAGUGAGAGUAAUAAAUAUUAUACGAUUGAUCAUUUAAAAGGUGGAGGUGGCGAGGACGAGGAAUCUCCUCCCAAAAUACCCCCAAGGGGAAGACCAUCGAUGAUAGGUAUAAGAAUACCGGUAACACCUUCUCCGGGGAGACCACCAAGAAGACCAGACGAUAAAUGACGACUUGUUGCAUGACAUGUGGCAAUGCUCAUCAUCACCACCAUCACACAAACAAUCACAACUUUGUUGCCCAUCAUCUUUAACAUUUUGAUCACAAUAUAUGUUUAAUUACAAUAUUAUUAUAUAAGGAAGAAGCUAGCCAACUUUUGUGAUGAAAUAUAUGUAUACAUGUAUGGGUAUUUAUAGGGCUAAUCUUUCAUCUUCUAUAAUUUCA